UACGUAGGGACCAAGCGUUGUUCGGAUUUACUGGGCGUAAAGGGCGCGUAGGUGGCGCCGUAAGUGGGGUGUGAAAUUUCGGAGCUUAACUCCGAAACUGCAUUCCAUACUGCGGUGCUUGAGGACUGGAGAGGAGACUGGAAUUUACGGUGUAGCAGUGAAAUGCGUAGAGAUCGUAAGGAAGACCAGUGGCGAAGGCGGGUCUCUGAACAGUUCCUGACACUGAGGCACGAAGGCCAGGGGAGCAAACGGG
rnacentral:rRNA from 1 species